GGAGGUUCUGGCUGGGGAAGCCCCUGUCACAUGACUGUGAGCAGACAGCUGUGUGGUGCAGGGCAAAAGAGGAACCAGCCUUGGAAUCACAAGAUGUGGGUUUAAGUCCUAGUUCCUCCAUCUCCUCCUACUAGGGUCUGAAUCUUGCAUGGUCUUGGAAGAGACUGAGCUAUAACAGCAGAGAAGCUAGGAAGGAAAUGGGAAUCUGAGGUCUGGGGCAGAAAAUCCUUACCUAAAAGAACAGAAGAAAAAUGGCUAAAGCUGGAGGUGAAGCCAAA
rnacentral:lncRNA from 10 species